rnacentral:rRNA from 1 species
UUGCGCCAGUAGCGGCGAGCGAACGCGCACCAGCCCAAGCCGGGUCGUUCACGCCCCGGGGUUGCGGGAACGCGGCACGGCACGUGGGAGGUUAGGCGAACGGUUUGGAAAGGCCGGCGGAACAGGGUGAAAGCCCCGUAGCCGAAAGCCAGACACGGCCCAGCGGUAUCCCAAGUAAGGCGGGACACGUGAAACCCUGCCUGAAUCCGGGGGGCCCACCCUCCAAGGCUAAAUACUCCGUGAUGACCGAUAGUGGACAAGUACCGCGAGGGAAAGGUGAAAAGAACCCUUUUUAAGGGAGUGAAACAGACCUGAAAUCGUGCGCCCACAAGCUAUGGCGGCCUGCUUCGGCAGGUUGCCGUUUGCCUUUUGCAUAAUGAGUCCGCGAGUCACCCUGCGCGGCAAGGUUAACCGAAAGGGGAGCCGUAGCGAAAGCGAGUCCGAAACGGGCGUCAAGUCGCGCGGGGUGGACCCGAAGCCCGAGUGAGCUACCCAUGGGCAGGCUGAAGCCUCCGUAACAGGAGGUGGAGGGCCGAACCGGUGUCCGUUGAAAAGGGCUCGGAUGACCUGUGGGUUGGAGCGAAAGACUUAUCAAACCGGGUGAUAGCUGGUUCUCCUCGAAAUGCCUUUAGGGGCAGCCUCCUGUAACGCAACGCGCGGGGGUAGAGCACUGAUUGGUCUAGGGCCCCUGCCGGGGUACCGAAGCCUGUCAAACUCCGAAUACCGCGCGCGACAGCAGGGGAGUGAGACUGUGGGGGCUAAGCUUCACAGUCGAAAGGGAAACAGCCCAGACCGCCGAAUAAGGCCCCAAAACGACGCUAAGUCACUAAGGAUGUGGGGUUUCGAAGACAGCCAGGAUGUUGGCUUAGAGGCAGCCACCAUUUAAACAGUGCGUAACAGCUGACUGGUCGAGAGAUCCCGCGCCGAAAAUGAUCGGGAGUCAAGCGCCGUGCCGAAUUCGCGGAUCGAGAGAUGGUAGGGGAGCGUCGCCUGACGGGACGAAGCCGCGAGCGCAAGCCGCGGUGGACUUCAGGCGAGUGAUUAUGCGGACAUGAGUAACGAAAACCAGGGUGGGAAUCCCUGGCGCCGGAAUCCCAAGGUUUCCCGGGGCAGGUUCGUCCGCCCGGGGUUAGCCGGCACCUAAGCCGAGGCCGAAAGGCGCAGGCGAUGGACGGAAGGUGAACAUUCCUUCGCUUCCGGCAAGAGUUUGACCGACGGGGAGCGCGGAAAGCUAAGCGGGAGGGCUGAUGGACGCCCUUUUGAGUGCGUAGGGCGGGCCGCAGGUAAAUCCGCGGCCCGGACGCCUGAAACACGGUCGAGCGGCCCGGCGACGGGACGCGAGCCGCCUAUGCUCAGCCGCCGAGAAAAACCCCUAGGGAUCGAGCCGGGAACCGUACCUAAACCGACACAGGUGGGAGGGUACCAGUAUACCAAGGCGCGCGAGAGAAACCUCGUUAAGGAACUCGGCAAUCUAGCCCCGUAACUUCGGGAGAAGGGGUCCCCCGCGAGGGGGCGCAGUGAACGGGCCCAUGCGACUGUUUAACAAAAACACAGCACCCUGCAAACGCGCGAGCGGACGUAUAGGGUGUGACACGUGACCAAUGCGGAAAGGUCAAGGCGAGGGGUCAGCCGCGAGGCGAAGCUCCGAACCGAAGCCCCCGUGAAUGUCGGCCGUAACUAUAACGGUCCUAAGGUAGCGAAAUUCCUUGUC